rnacentral:rRNA from 1 species
UACGUAGGGGGCGAGCGUUGUCCGGAGGUACUGGGCGUAAAGCGCUUGUAGGCGGUCCACCAAGUUUGGGGUGACAGUUGCCGACUUAAUCGGCAAAGUGCCUCAAAGACUGGCGGACUUGAGGGCCACAGAGGGACAUGGAACUCCAGGUGUAGUGGUGAAAUGCGUAGAUAUCUGGAAGAACACCAAAGGCGAAGGCAGUGUCCUGGGUGGUCGCUGACGCUGAGAGGCGAAAGCCAGGGGAGCGAACGGG